CUUAGCCUUCCUUUGUUGUAGUCUGUAAAUAGUAAAUAUGCUCAGCACGGUGGUAAUUGUCAAUUGAAAUUUUGGUUAAAAACUUAAGUAGAUAGAGAGAAAAUUGAAAAAGCAAAAUAAGAUCUUCAAGUAAGUCAACAUGGCAAAACAAAAUCAGAGUUAUAUAUUUGAGUUAGAUUGACUCCUGGUAUACCUCUCAACUGCAAACACAUACCAAAGACCAAUGGAGCUUCUUUCACCAUCUGUUUUCUAAUAUUUGUUGUCCAAAAGGAAUCAUUAAAAACGUCUUCUCUAAAACCUAUGAUUCAGAUUGGAAAAACUUUUCUACGACCAACCAAAGGGGGUCAACUGUUCUAAGAAGAUUGAACAAUUUUUAUUACGGGUGCACUGGACAACAAUCUUAAUUGACUAGAAUUGUCAGUUUUCCUAUUAAAGGUUGAUGGUUCUAUUCAGGCACUCUGGCUUCCUCUACCAAUUAAAACUUACCGCCAGGAAAUAGCAUAAAAGUGCUGAAAAUGGUGUUAAACACUGAUCAAUCUAUGACUAUCCAAAGAGAUUUACUUCAAAAGGGGCAACAUUGUUCCCAAACCAACCAAUCAACAAACAAGC
rnacentral:lncRNA from 1 species